rnacentral:rRNA from 1 species
AUUGAACGCUGGCGGCAGGCCUAACACAUGCAAGUCGAGCGGCAGCGGGAAAGUAGCUUGCUACUUUUGCCGGCGAGCGGCGGACGGGUGAGUAAUGCCUGGGAAAUUGCCCAGUCGAGGGGGAUAACAGUUGAAAACGACUGCUAAUACCGCAUACGCCCUACGGGGGAAAGCAGGGGACCUUCGGGCCUUGCGCGAUUGGAUAUGCCCAGGUGGGAUUAGCUAGUUGGUGAGGUAAUGGCUCACCAAGGCGACGAUCCCUAGCUGGUCUGAGAGGAUGAUCAGCCACACUGGAACUGAGACACGGUCCAGACUCCUACGGGAGGCAGCAGUGGGGAAUAUUGCACAAUGGGGGAAACCCUGAUGCAGCCAUGCCGCGUGUGUGAAGAAGGUCUUCGGGUUGUAAAGCACUUUCAGCGAGGAGGAAAGGUUGAUGCCUAAUACGUAUCAACUGUGACGUUACUCGCAGAAGAAGCACCGGCUAACUCCGUGCCAGCCGCCGCGGUAA